rnacentral:lncRNA from 1 species
AGGAGUCAACAUCAACAGACCUUGAGUUAAUUAUCAACAAUAGAAGCUACUCUUUAUAAGAGCUUGUUAACAUGUAAAGGGGCUGCUUGGCUAACUGAGAUACCUGGCUACAACAAAGGCCUCCUUUGGAUGCAAAAUUCACAGCCCUUCUACCUGAGUUCAGAAAGCGUCAUUGAAGUGUGACGUGGUAGGGGAAAACCAUCUAGAUCUCAUGGCGUGUAUGUUUUAUCAUUGACAUUUUUACAGUUAAGGAGACUGAGCUGUUUAACAGACUCCCAUCCUGUAUAAGCAAAUAUACUGGAUAUGCAGCAACAAUGUCAGGGGAAUAUAUACAAGAUAAGUAAGAAAUUCACAGAACAGUAUCUGUAGGUCACACAGUUUGCUACCCUUAGUUGUCCUGAUCAUAACUAUCCUUACCAAAUUGCAAAUUGGAGACAUUUUCUUAUCAGAACAUAAUUUGCAAUUUAGGAUUGGUAUCACCAGUCCCCAGUUUGCACUAAAAUACCUUCAGGCCAAGAGAACGCACUGAAACAAAUUCAUUUGUGACCCCAACUUUUUAGCAAUUUAGUGUCUGGAUUCAACUUCCAAAGAAAAAUAACAAGUUACUGCUAUCACUCUAACUCCCUGUGUUUCUUGACCUGUAAAGCAAACACUGGUCCUUCUUCCUAAUUGUACAAGAGAAGGAAUUUUUUUCGGCCCUUGGACUGUCUGCAUGCGUGGAAUGGAUCUUGAACUUUGCACAAGAGACGGGUGUAAGACCUGACCUGCCAAGGAGUUGGCUCCGCCCAACAAGUUCUCUUCCUGAGUUUCUUGAUCUGUGAAACAAAGACUGGUCUUCCAAAUUGUAGAAGAGAAGAAAUUUGUUUUGGCCCUUGGACUGUCUGCAUGCGUGGAAUGGAUCUUGAACUUUGGACAGGAGACGGGUGUAAGAACUGACCUGCAAAAGAGUUGGUUCCACCCAACAAAUUCUCUUCCCGAGUGUCUAGAUCUGUGAAACAAAGACUAGCCUUCCAAAUUGUAGAAGAGAAGAAAUUUGUUUCGGCCCUUGGACUGUCUGCAUGCGUGGAAUGGAUCUUGAACUUUGUACAAGAGACGGAUGUAAGAACUGACCUGCAAAGGAGUUUGCACCACUCAACAAAUUCUCUUCCUGAGUUUCUUGAUCUGUGAAACAAAGACUCGUCUUUCAAAUUUUAGAAGAGAAGAAAUUUGUUUCGGCCCUUGGACUGUCUGCAUGCGUGGAAUGGAUCUUGAGCUUUGUACAAGAGACGGGUGUAAGAACUGACCUGCAAAAGAGUUGGUUUCACCCAACAAAUUGUCUUCCUGAGUUUCUUGAUCUGUGAAGCAAAUGCUGGUCUUUCAAAUUGUAGACGAGAAGAAAUUUGUUUUGGCCCUUGGACUGUCUGCAUGUGUGGAAUAGAUCUUGAACUUUGUACAAGAAAUGGGUGUAAGACCUGACCUGCAAAGGAGUUGGUUUCACCCAACAAAUUCUCUUCCUGAGUUUCUUGAUCUGUGAAACAAAGACUGGUCUUCUAAAUUGUACAAGAGAAGAAAUUUUUUCUAGGCCCUUAGACUGUCAGCAUGCGUGGAAUGGAUCUUGAAAAUAGUGUUCACUAACAUCUUGUUGCUUUGAAUUGGUUUUAAAUUCAAUUUUACUGUCAGCUGAUCUGUAAGAAAAUUGUGAAGUUUCCUCUGUUUUUAGUACAACAGGGAGUUAACAGGGAAAAUUUAAGUCUGGUAUGGCCAAGUGAGAUCAUACAAUGUAACUGAAUUAUGAAGCUAAUUUUUUGUUUGUUAUUCCUUCCCUCGUGAUAUACAGGUGUAGAGCUGUAUUUCAAGUUUUCCAUCAUCGAUACUUAGUUGUAAAAAAAGUCAAUUAGGAAAUAACAAGCCACAACGAAACAUGUCAAGGCAGCAGUGGAAGUGCGGCAAACGUUUGCUUCAUAGAAGUUAAUCUUGCGUUCAAACACUAAUGACGCUCUAAGCUGCUACUUCUUGGUUUUUUUUAUUUCUUGAACACUUACACUUCAUUACAUUAAAAGUCACUUAAUUUUUUUAGUCAGUUUCAACUAUUUAUCAUUUCAUAAAAUAUUGCUCUUUUGUUUUGAACUUUAAUUGUACGAAGAUGAGAGACUAGAUGUUGUUUCCUGCGCAAUGAUUAUUCAAAUCACCUUAGUCGUGAUGGCCGCCGUGUUGGUUUUGACAUGAAAGUUGAGUGGCAAAUUAAAAUUUCUGAAGUGAAAAUGAGUUCAAAAAUGUGCAAAUUUCAACUUCUUUCUUAUUAUUUCUGAUAGUUUUUAGUAACCGGGCUAUGCUUUUCGUAUGGCUAUAUAAAAUACUCUCAAUUUUAGGCAAUUUUGGUGCAUUUCUGAAAACAAAAUGUCUUGCUCAUAUCGCUCAACUAGAGUAAUCUAACCAUAGUAGUAAAAUCAAGAUUCCUUUAUCUUGCACAAUGUUUUACUUUUGAAGACUCCAUCUUCCGACAACUCUUGUCUUCCAAUGUUUGGUUCCCGAAAGACCACAUGGCUAAUUUACAUUAAACAUGAAAACUGUCA